AGUGAACGCUGGCGGUAGGCCUAACACAUGCAAGUCGAACGGCAGCACAGUAAGGGCUUGCUCUUACGGGUGGCGAGUGGCGGACGGGUGAGGAAUACAUCGGAAUCUACUUUUUCGUGGGGGAUAACGUAGGGAAACUUACGCUAAUACCGCAUACGACCUACGGGUGAAAGCAGGGGAUCUUCGGACCUUGCGCGAUUGAAUGAGCCGAUGUCGGAUUAGCUAGUUGGCGGGGUAAAGGCCCACCAAGGCGACGAUCCGUAGCUGGUCUGAGAGGAUGAUCAGCCACACUGGAACUGAGACACGGUCCAGACUCCUACGGGAGGCAGCAGUGGGGAAUAUUGGACAAUGGGCGCAAGCCUGAUCCAGCCAUACCGCGUGGGUGAAGAAGGCCUUCGGGUUGUAAAGCCCUUUUGUUGGGAAAGAAAAGCAGCGGGUUAAUACCCCGCUGUUCUGACGGUACCCAAAGAAUAAGCACCGGCUAACUUCGUG
rnacentral:rRNA from 1 species